rnacentral:ncRNA from 2 species
GGUCAUGAGUGCCAGCAUCGAGCCCCGGCUUGCUGGCCGGCAACCCUCCAACCGCGGUGGGGUGCUCCGGGUGAAGACCAGGUUGAGCAGGCGUCGGGAUAUUUCCGAUCGGCUGUAAGGCAAGCGCGGGUC